rnacentral:tRNA from 1 species
AGAUCUGUAAGCUCAAAAUGGUAGAGCUCUCGUUAUGAGAGGUUGGUGGUUCGAAUCCACCCAGAUCUG